CCAGAGUACAGACCACCUGAGCUUUCCGAUAGCUAGGUCAAGACAAUUAGGUUUCCCUGACUACAGUUUUGACUGUGGAAUUCUGCUACUCUCCAGGUUGAGGUCAAGAUAUCCUGAUGAAGCUGACAAGGGUUGUUAACAUGGGACGUGGCUGCUAUCCAGGUAAAUGAUUCCAAGGGCCUGAACCACAGCAUAGACCCUCUGAUCUUCAGCUACCCAGGCAAGUGACGAUGAUUUCUCUAGCACAUUCUGAUGAUGAAAGCCCUAACACGUGUAGGUACCAUGUUUUUUCUCAGGAGACUAGGUAAGAAAGGAUUGUGCCCCUCCAACUUUUAGUAACUUGAGUCUUUCUGUUGAUAAGGUCAACAAGAUAUGCACACAUGCAUUUGAUCUGGGUACUGAGUGAGGGAUGUGCAGAUAUCCUGAUUAAUAUUGGUUCUCUCACUAAUUGGCCCUGUGAUUUUUACAGGUGUCGGGUCCAAAGAAGUUGGUUUCUCUAAGUAUGCUCUUGACCUUGGAGUUCUGGAACUUUCCAGGCAAUACUCAUGGGUCCCUUAACCCUGGAAGUAACCAAGGUAAAUUGCAGGGCUUGGUUUAAAAACUUCGCAACCCUAAACCUCUUUGUCACUAUGUGCUUUUCAGAUUCUUCCUCAAGAGAUCCUGGUGAGUUCACCAAUCAAUCAGUCAAUCAGUCAGUCAGUCAACUCUGUCAAGGGAUCCUGUUCAAGCUAACAAUGGUUGUUAAAAUGGGACACUGGUGGUAUCCAGGUAAGUGAUGAUGCGGGCCAUAACCACAGGACAGACCACCUGGUGUGAUAUCUAGGUAAGUGAUGAUGAAUCCCUAAAACAUGUUGGUUCCAUUCUUUCCAUACAGGAUUUCAGGUAAGCAAUAGUAGUGUUCCUACAAUACCAGUAAGCGUGAGAGCUUCCUAGGUUCCAUGUGUGAAAAUGUAUGCUUCAACCCAGUAGUGAGUGAGGGAUUUGAAGGCAUCAAAAGAAGUUACUACAGUGUUCCUCAACAAAGUGGUGAUCGUGGGAUUUUUACAGGUGUCUACUCAAGAGAUAUUGGUUUCUCUACUUCAUUAUUGACCUUGGAUCUCUGCAGUGAUAUCAGUGUUGUUGAGCGGUCCUUUCAGGUUCGAAGUAACUAAGGGUAUUUUUUCAGGUGUCAAGGAAGGAACCGAAGUUCACAGGUAGUUUUGCUAUGGUCCUUCACCACAGUACAGACCAUGUGAUCAUCUGAUUUGUAGGUAUCCAGUCAUGAUGUGAUGUUGUCCCUAACUAUGGUGCUGACCCUGGUUUUACAAGUAUCAGUCAAUAAACUUGUGACCCUUCCCAUGGUCCUUCACAAGAUUUGGCUGAGAGCCAUGUUCUCGAUGAUGGUGGAUGCACCAAAGGUCGAGGUCAUGGGAUUUCCCGGAUAUCCAGGUUUCCUGUCAAGAUGAUGUUAUGUCUACCUAAGGAUACUAACCUUGGAAAUUAGCAGGUUUCCAGGUAUUCUGAGAUGACGGUAUUCCUAGCAACGGCAGUGCCCACAGGAUUCUGCAGAUACCUAGUCAAGAGCUAAUGAUGGCCCUAACAGUGCUGGUGUCCAUGGGAUUGAAAGAAAAAUGGAAUACUUUUCUUGGUUAAUUAUAUAUUUUGUUAAAUGGAU